GCCUUAAGUGAAAACAUUUAAUUAUUCACUGCAUUUAGGUUUAAAUAAGCUCCCAAUGGCCCAUUUUUUGGUUUCCUUCUUGGGAAAAAAAGUCUUCUGAAAGUUCUUUGUAUUAGUGGAAUUUUCUGCUUAAUAUUUCAUUUACAUUUGUCCUGAUUCUAUUGUUUUGCUCUUCUAUACCACCUAUGGUGAUGAAAGCCCAUUCGUUUUUAUUCACACUUCUAUUCUGUUUUAUAGGUUAUUUAAUACUGCAUAAUAAGGCAAUUAGGCCACAACCCAAUGCACUCUAAGUGUCAUGGGAAUGAUUCAAAAAAGACAAAAUAAACUUAAUGUAACAUAAAAAUGACUAGGCAGCGUAUUAAAAAAUCAGAUUCCUGAUAAACACUUUAGUGCCAUUAGAAUCCACUGAAAAUAGCCCAGCAAACUUAAUAUCCUCAGUGUCUUUCACAUUGUGUGAUUUUACCAGACUAGUCACAAAUGCAUUUUAAAAUAUUUUUAUAAGACGGAACCUCAAGUUUCCAUGCAUGUCCUAUUAGCUGUUUGUGUUGCACAGCCACUUGAAUAUAGUCAAUUCUGCCUAUAUACAAAGACAGACAAUGUUUGACCAAAACACAGGAAUGUCCUAGUGAAUUAGAAAAAUAAGAAGAAAAACUGAAGAUUCCUCCCAAUGCUUUUGCCUUCAUGUAAGCUUGCUUCUUGUUAUUCAAUCAGCCAGCUGAGUAGAUGCUAUGUCUUUUUAGUUCUCCUCAUUAUUCAAGCAUUCAGCAUAUUUUUUAAAAAGUGUGUCUCUUAUGCUAUAAUGUCUUGAUGUGUCCUCUACUAAGUUUUGGAAAUUGUUUUAAUAAGGACAUGGUACAUUAUGCUAACAUAACAAUUUGACCCCCAAAUAUCAGUGGAUUAACACAACAAAGCAUAUUUUUCUCAACCUACAUAUCUAAAAUUGGUCAGGCCAAUUUAAAUCUCUGCUCCACAAAGCUACUUGGGGUUUUAGAGGUUCCACAAUAAUGGUGGCAUCACCAUAAUGUGACAUUGCCAUUUCCCAAAAAUAAAACUGGCUACUGAGUAUGCUGUGUCAACAAAGGUAAAACAUGAACCUUCAUGCUCAUUUUCACUUCUAUUUAUUUGUCAUCAGAGUCUAGGAAAUUCAGGAAGAGGAAAAGAAGUGGUGAGCAGCAAGUACUGUGUUUCCAUCAGAAGUUAUUUCUAGGAGGCAAUACUGUGAACUAAAAAGAUCUCUAAACUUUGAGGCAAGAGAUCUGAUUUUGGACAAGUCACUUGGCUUUUCUGAGUCUGAAUAUGCAAAAUGAGAACUCUGUUUUUGUUGAGGUUGUUAAACAUUCCAUUCAAUAGCUGGAAAAGUGAAUUUCCUGUAGAAUGAUAGAAAUUACAUAGAAGCAAGCAAUUUUAUUUUCCUUAAAUGUAGCAUUAAUUUUAAUGUGUACAUAUAUAAACAGUGUAAUUUUAAAACCUUGAAGGUGACAUGCAUAUUUUAAGGUACAGGUGAAAUACAGAAGGAUGUUAGCCAUCUCUGAUUUUCAUUACCACUUUUUCUUUUCCAGUUCCUUCUGCAAAAGCACUGAGUCAGCAAACUUCACAUGGAAUGCUAAAGUGAAAGGUGAACUUCUAAAGUCUGUACUUCUACAUAUAACAAACAAAAUGGAAACGACUUUCUAGAGCAGUUUGGUAGGCACUAGAGUCAUAUGGCUGAGCUUUCAAGCUCAAAAUGAAAUCAGGGAUUCAUUUUCUAAAAAACUAAAGGAGAUCAUGUUUGUAACUGUGCCCUAUUUAUGUUUCAUAGUUGCUACCCAUGUGAUAACUUCCACCAGUCUUUUUAUUUGGUAUAGUUUCUGAAUAUAUGCUGUUCAAUGGAGUUAUAUGUACUUAAGGUGUGGUGAGAUGCAGAAGAAAGGACUGAGAAAAUCACUCUUCUGUGAAGUCUGAGUCCAUGCUCCUCUUCCACUAUUCUUAUGGCCUUUUCUCUGCCAUUGAGGCAGACACAGCUGAUGCAGAAUGUCAAAUGCUUUCAUCAUUCAAAGGCCCGGGGAUGCAGACCAAGGUUGCUUUCUGGUUUGGGUUAUUAUUAGCAUAAGAGCAGAGAAGAUAUGCAAGAAUUUCUCUAAAGUAUCUUCCUAGAAGUGGAACGGCUGGGUAACAAGUUUCCCCUCUAACAGGUACCUCUGCUGUAGGACUGCUGGAGGUCCACUUUAGACUCUGGUUGCCUGGGAAUCACCAGUGGGGGUUGCAGAUAAAUAGCAUUUCACUCUUGUUGCCCAGGCUGGAGUACAAUGGCACGAUCUCAGCUCACUGCAACCUCCACCUCCCAGGUCAAAGCAAUUCUCCUGCCUCAACCUCCCACCAAGAAUCUUUCUAAAAUCGGAAAUAAAGACUUACAUUGCAGCACUUCAACACCAAAGAAAACUUUUCUAGCAUUGAGUAGAUUUAUGGUUCCUUACAAUUAAAACUUAUUUGUUGUAAAUAAGAGAGCUAAAAUGAUUAUGAUAAAUGACACGCAGACAUGUUACAAAAACAGAAUAAACUUAUAUUCAAGCAAUAUUGUACCUAUUAUAAAACUAAGUCCAAAAGGAGUUGUAUUUGGGAUAAUCUGAAACCUCAGAAAUAUUGUUUACAUGGUAAAGCCAAAAGGGGCAAUUAACUAACAUUCCCUGAGUGCCUACAUUGUAGCAGAAGGGUGGUAAGCAUUUUGCAUCAGUUAUCUCAUUUAAUCCUAAAAUACAAAAGAAUCACCAUAACUUCACUAGUUUGUUUUUCUGACUUAAUCUUUAAAACAUUAGCUUAUAUUUUUAAAUAUGAUCAAGCAUUCUUAACAUUUAAGCCACAAGCAAAUUUGAUGAAAAUGUCAUAGCAAAAGGCCAUCCUAUAAUUAUAACU